rnacentral:rRNA from 1 species
UGGGGAAUAUUGCGCAAUGGGCGAAAGCCUGACGCAGCCACGCCGCGUGAGCGAUGAAGGUCCUAGGAUCGUAAAGCUCUGUGGGGGGAGAAGAACAAAGCCGGUGAAGAGCCGGCCCUGACGGUAUCCCCUUAGCAAGCACCGGCUAACUCCGUGCCAGCAGCCGCGGUAAUACGGAGGGUGCAAACGUUGCUCGGAAUCAUUGGGCGUAAAGCGCGCGUAGGCGGCUUGGCAAGUUGGAUGUGAAAGCCCUGGGCUCAACCCAGGAAGUGCAUCCAAAACUGCCUGGCUUGAAUCUCGGAGGGGGACAGGGAAUUCUCGGUGUAGAGGUGAAAUUCGUAGAUAUCGGGAGGAACACCAGUGGCGAAGGCGCUGUCCUGGACGAUGAUUGACGCUGAGGCGCGAAAGCGUGGGGAGCAAACAGGAUUAGAUACCCCCGUAGUCC